AGAGUUUGAUCAUGGCUCAGGAUGAACGCUAGCGGCAGGCUUAAUACAUGCAAGUCGUGGGGCAGCAGGGGUAGCAAUACUCGCUGGCGACCGGCAAACGGGUGCGGAACACGUACACAACCUUCCUACAAGUGGGGAAUAGCCCAGAGAAAUUUGGAUUAAUACCCCGUAACAUAUAGAGAUGGCAUCAUCAUUAUAUUAAAGCUUCGGCGCUUGUUGAUGGGUGUGCGGCUGAUUAGAUAGUUGGCGGGGUAACGGCCCACCAAGUCUACGAUCAGUAGCUGAUGUGAGAGCAUGAUCAGCCACACGGGCACUGAGACACGGGCCCGACUCCUACGGGAGGCAGCAGUAAGGAAUAUUGGUCAAUGGACGCAAGUCUGAACCAGCCAUGCCGCGUGAAGGAUUAAGGUCCUCUGGAUUGUAAACUUCUUUUAUCUGGGACGAAAAAAGGCGAUUCUUCGUCACUUGACGGUACCAGAUGAAUAAGCACCGGCUAACUCCGUGCCAGCAGCCGCGGUAAUACGGAGGGUGCAAGCGUUAUCCGGAUUCACUGGGUUUAAAGGGUGCGUAGGCGGGCAGUUAAGUCAGUGGUGAAAUCCUUGAGCUCAACUCGAGAACUGCCAUUGAUACUAUCUGUCUUGAAUAUUGUGGAGGUAAGCGGAAUAUGUCAUGUAGCGGUGAAAUGCUUAGAUAUGACAUAGAACACCUAUUGCGAAGGCAGCUUACUACGCAUAUAUUGACGCUGAGGCACGAAAGCGUGGGGAUCAAACAGGAUUAGAUACCCUAGUAGUCC
rnacentral:rRNA from 1 species